CCGAAAAAAAAAGCAAUGUAGGGACCAUUUUUCACGACCAAAACAUCCAAAUUUAGACGUUUGGCAACUUGCUCAUAUUUAUGACACCCACAGUGUCCCGGAGUCACACGAUUGCCUUAUUACGACCUUCUGACAGGCAAAGCCAACGGGGAAGCUGGACUUCACUUAACAACUGGUUCACUUAACGACCGUGGAAAAAAAAGUCAUAAAAUCGGACGCGGCUCGCUUAACAAACGCCUUGCUUAGAAGGGCGAAAAUUCUGCUCCCCGUUUUGGUCGUAAGCCGAGGUGCGCCUGUACCCGUAGGUGCCAAUCCGAGGCCCUUUUUUAACCACAUUAUCUAGGGUGAUCGCCGUUCCGCCCCCCGCUUUGUUCUACAAAGGAGGGGGAAACCCCCCCAAGUCCUCUGCGUCAGUCGCUCACUCCUUCGCUCAUAAUUUCCAGUCCGUCUUUCACCUCCAUUGCAAACUGAGCCUUUGAAUCUAUUUGCAUAAAAGGCGGGGUGUGGGUUUUUUUUUUCUCAUUCCCUUUUUUUUUUUUUCAAGAAAAUAUACUGGCUGUUCAGCAAAAUUCACCAAAAUCACAUUCUUAAGACAAAAAAACCCCCUCCAUCACGUUUAUUUCCCUCUUAACCUUCUUUAUAACCUUCCUCCGCACGCUUAAAAAAGCGGCCGAAUUUUUCGCCGCAAAUUCGACCUUCCCAAAAAAUGAAGGAAUGACGUUUUUUUGAUCAACCUCACCCACCCCUUAAUUUAUUUUGUUUUAUUUUCUCUUUCCCCAACUUUUUCAAGAGUUUCCCGCUGGAUCCCUUCGCUUGAAAAAAAGAAGUUGCACUUUUAUUUUGUGUGUGUGUGUGUGCUUUUUUUUUUUUUAAGAAAAAUUGCAUUUCCUUCCUGCCGUACGGACUUGAAAAUUUGCCUCUGCGGAUGGAAAAACUGCCAGGUUAAUUCUCAACUAGGCACCAGGUUGACUAAGCGGAGACUCAGCUGCCUUCAUUCCAAAAAGGUAGGUGAGAUGUUUUCCGUCACUUCUUGCUUUGAGUCUUGUCGGGGGCUUUCUGCCUCGUUCUAGCAGGAGCCUUGAGGAUGGGAGUCUCAGUGAUGGGUGGGCUCCACUGUUGGUUGGGUUUCUUCCCUGUUCCCCAUCUGCCCCAAUUUAAUUGAGGGUCUCCUUUGUAAAAAGAUCUGAAAGCCAACCUCUCUUAAAAAUCUUGGUAAAACUUUUAAAAAACUUUAAAAGAAUUAAAACCCUUUUUCAAAACCCUUUUAAUCAAACUUGAAACUUUAAAACCCUUUAAAACUUUUUAAGAACCUUUAC
rnacentral:lncRNA from 1 species